CAGCAGCCGCGGGAAUACGUAGGGUGCGAGCGUUAAUCGGAAUUACUGGGCGUAAAGCGUGCGCAGGCGGUUGUGUAAGACAGGUGUGAAAUCCCCGGGCUUAACCUGGGAACUGCGCUUGUGACUGCACAGCUAGAGUAUGGCAGAAGGGGGUGGAAUUCCACGUGUAGCAGUGAAAUGCGUAGAGAUGUGGAGGAACACCGAUGGCGAAGGCAGCCCCCUGGGCCAAUACUGACGCUCAUGCACGAAAGCGUGGGGAGCAAACAGGAUUAGAUACCCCAGUAGUCCCUGUCUCUUAUAC
rnacentral:rRNA from 1 species